UGCUCUUAUGAAGUUAGCGGCGGACGGGUGAGUAACACGUGGGUAACCUGCCCAUAAGACUGGGAUAACUCCGGGAAACCGGGGCUAAUACCGGAUAACAUUUUGAACCGCAUGGUUCGAAAUUGAAAGGCGGCUUCGGCUGUCACUUAUGGAUGGACCCGCGUCGCAUUAGCUAGUUGGUGAGGUAACGGCUCACCAAGGCAACGAUGCGUAGCCGACCUGAGAGGGUGAUCGGCCACACUGGGACUGAGACACGGCCCAGACUCCUACGGGAGGCAGCAGUAGGGAAUCUUCCGCAAUGGACGAAAGUCUGACGGAGCAACGCCGCGUGAGUGAUGAAGGCUUUCGGGUCGUAAAACUCUGUUGUUAGGGAAGAACAAGUGCUAGUUGAAUAAGCUGGCACCUUGACGGUACCUAACCAGAAAGCCACGGCUAACUACGUGCCAGCAGCCGCGGUAAUACGUAGGUGGCAAGCGUUAUCCGGAAUUAUUGGGCGUAAAGCGCGCGCAGGUGGUUUCUUAAGUCUGAUGUGAAAGCCCACGGCUCAACCGUGGAGGGUCAUUGGAAACUGGGAGACUUGAGUGCAGAAGAGGAAAGUGGAAUUCCAUGUGUAGCGGUGAAAUGCGUAGAGAUAUGGAGGAACACCAGUGGCGAAGGCGACUUUCUGGUCUGUAACUGACACUGAGGCGCGAAAGCGUGG
rnacentral:rRNA from 1 species